AGUGCUUCAUUGCAGCUGUGGCCCCUAAUGUUACACUGCAGUUUCACAGGCCUUUGCAUUAAAGCAGGUACUGCUUGGGACCUUUAAAAGCUUCCUUGCAGCUGUGGCCCCUAAUGUUACACUGCAGUUUCACAGGCCUUUGCAUUAAAGCAGGUACUGAUUGGGACCAUUAAUGUGCUUCAUUGCAGCUGUGGUCCCUAAUGUUAACUGCAGUUUCACAGGCCUUUGCAUUAAAGCAGGUACUGCUUGGGACCGUUAAAGUGCUUCAUUGCAGCUGUGGCCCCUAAUGUUACUGCAGUUUCACAGGCCUUUGCAUUAAAGCAGGUACUGCUUGGGACCAUUAAAGUGCUUCAUUGCAGCUGUGGCCCCUAAUGUUACUGCAGUUUCACAGGCCUUUGCAUUAAAGCAGGUACUGCUUGGGACCGUGAACGUGCUUUGUUGCAGCUGUGGUCCCUAAUGUUACUGCAGUUUCACUGGCCUUUGCAUUAAAGCAGAUAGUACUUGGGACUGUUGAAGUGCUUCAUUGCAGUUGUGGUUCCUAAUGUUACUGCAGUUUAACAGGCCUUAUUUAGAACCUUUGCAUUAAAGCAGAGGCUACUUGGGAUUGUUGAAGUGCUUCAUUGCAGCUGUGGUCCCUAAUAUUACUGCAGUUUCACAGGCCUUUGCAUUAAAGCAGGUAAUGCUUGGGACCAUUAAAGUGCUUCAUUGCAGCUGUGGUCCCUAAUGUUACUGCAGUUUCACAGGCCUUCGCAUUAAAGCAGGUACUUCUUGGGAUCGUUAAAGUGCUUCAUUGCAGCUCUGGUCCCUAAUGUUACUUCACUUUCACAGGCCUUAUUUUGAACCUUUGCAUUAAAGCAGAGGCUACUCGGGAUUGUUGAAGUGCUUCAUUGCAGCUGUGGUCUCUAAUGUUACUGCAGUUUUACAGGCCUUUGCAUUAAAGCAGAUACUACUUGGGACCGUUAAAGUGCUUCAUUGCAGCUGUGGUCCCUAAUGUUACUGCAGUUUCACAGGCCUUUGCAUUAAAGCAAGUACUGCUUGGGACCGUUAAAGUGCUUCAUUGCAGCUGUGGCCCCUAAUGUUACACUGCAGUUUCACAGGCCUUUGCAUUAAAGCAGGUACUGCUUGGGACCUUUAAAAGCUUCCUUGCAGCUGUGGCCCCUAAUGUUACAGUGCAGUUUCACAGGCCUUUGCAUUAAAGCAGGUACUGCUUGGGACCGUUAAAAGCUUCCUUGCAGCUGUGGCCCCUAAUGUUACAGUGCAGUUUCACAGGCCUUUGCAUUAAAGCAGGUACUGCUUGGGACCGUUAAUGUGCUUCAUUGCAGCUGCGGUCCCUAAUGUUACUGCAGUUUCACAGGCCUUUGCAUUAAAGCAGGUAUUGCUUGGGACCGUUAAAGUGCUUCAUUGCAGCUGUGGCCCCUAAUGUUACUGCAGUUUAACAGGCCUUAUUUAGAACCUUUGCAUUAAAGCAGAGGCUACUUGGGAUUGUUGAAGUGCUUCAUUGCAGCUGUGGUCCCUAAUAUUACUGCAGUUUCACAGGCCUUUGCAUUAAAGCAGGUAAUGCUUGGGACCAUUAAAGUGCUUCAUUGCAGCUGUGGUUCCUAAUGUUACUGCAGUUUCACAGGCCUUAUUUUGAACCUUUGCAUUAAAGCAGAGGCUACUCGGGAUUGUUGAAGUGCUUCAUUGCAGCUGUGGUCCCUAAUGUUACUGCAGUUUUACAGGCCUUUGCAUUAAAGCAGAUACUACUUGGGACCGUUAACGUGCUUCAUUGCAGCUGUGGCCCCUAAUGUUACUGCAGUUUCACAGGCCUUUGCAUUAAAGCAGGUACUGCUUGGGACCGUUAAAGUGCUUCAUUGCAGCGGUGGUCCCUAAUGUUACUGCAAUUUCACAGGCCUUAUUUAGAACCUUUGCAUUAAAGCAGAGGCUACUCAGGAUUGUUGAAGUGCUUCAUUGCAGCUGUGGUCCCUAAUGUUACUGCAGUUUCACAGGCCUUUGCAUUAAAACACAUGCUACUUGGGACCGUUAAAGUGCUUCGUUGCAGCUGUGGUCCCUAAUGUUACUGCAGUUUCACAGGCCUUCGCAUUAAAGCAGGUACUUCUUGGGAUCGUUAAAGUGCUUCAUUGCAGCUCUGGUCCCUAAUGUUAUUCCAGUUUCACAGGCCUUUGCACUAUUGCAGAAGUUAUUCGGGACUGUUCCAGUGCUUAGUUAGUGCCCUGGUUCCUUUCCUUCCUCUAGUUUCCCACCCCCUGCUACUCCUUUGCAUUAUAGCAGAGAGUUCUUGGGAUGGUUUACUUACUCACUUGUAGCUGUGGUCCCUUAUGUUUUUCUUUCCCCAUCUUUUCCUACUUCCUUUGCAUAGCUGCAGAGGUUGUUUGGGACUGUUAUAGUUCUUAACUGUAGCUUGGUCCUGUUCCUAGUGUAGUUUCCCACCCCUUCCUGCGUCCUUUUCAAUACAAUAGAGAGUAGUGAAUAUCAGGGCCCUGGCUUUGGCACUGUUAAUGUCAUAAUUGCGUCUGUCCCUCUUGCUGUGCUGUCAGUGAACACCUUACUCAUCUUCCUUGUUUUCACCUACCGACCCACUUUACGUAACACUUUUCUAUUACAUGGUAAUUGACCAGAAGUGUAUGGCAGAUGGAGUCCCUUGUACCCUUGUUUUGUUACAGCAAGGUGUAUUAAUUAAAUGUUACUUUUUUUCUGGGACUAUUUAGCCCUCCAUAUAAACUAAUAUCCCACCCUUCUAGUAGUGAUGCUAACUACCCAAAGUCUUCCUCUUGGGGGUCUUAAUGUGCAUGUGCCUUCCUGAUAAGCUAAUAUCCUGACUUCUUAGUAUAAUAGCAGGGGGCACUGACCACCAAAAGUCUUCCUCUUGAUCAGUUAAUGUGUAAAAUUGUGCUAGGGUCCCAUUCCCAUCAUACCUCCUUUGCAUUAUGGAUGCUGAACCAAACUAUGGCUGCUUCUCCUAUAGCGUAAAUGUGUAUUAUUACAGCAGUCGGUGUCCCCUUAUGUUAAAAUAGGAUCCUGUUUCCUUGCCCUGUUUACAUUAUGGCAGAGGCUUCAAGUUAGCCAUUAUCCAUUCAGAAUGUUUGUCCAUACUGACAUUUGCUCCUGUACCUGUACAUUGGGUAAGGACCCUUCCCAUUUUUCUGACAUUUCAGCCUACUACUGAAAACCUUACACAGUAAUGCAGUUAAUGUGUACAAUCUUAGUCGCCUUGUAUACAUUUUCAGUUGAAUUAACUGAGUCCAUGGCACAUUUUACACCCUCUUUGCUUUACCGCAAGGGGUAAUAGUCACUUAAGGUUCCUGUUCAAAACUGUUAGUGUACAUAACAACAAUUACAUUAGUAUCCUUUCCCUUCACAUGUCCUUCGAAGUACUGCAGGGCGGUUGACCCAUAACGUCCUAUUACUUGGCCUGCUAAUAUGUGUGAACCUACUUGUCUGGGUUUCUGUACAGUACACAAAGAAAACUCUUCUCCCCACUCCCUUUGUGACAACUAAAGAGUGUCCCCUCCCCAAGAUGGACAAUGCCAAGUGCCCACAGCUGUGCACCCUGGAGAUUAAUGAGCACAAUUGCACAUGGCUCACCCCAUAUGAAUCCGAUCCUGCCCUCUCAGACCCCUUUUGCAGUACUGCAGGGGUGCUGACCACAGAGGGGUGCCCCGUCCCCAAGAUGGUUGCGCUUGGACAGUCAAGACGCACAAUGGCAAUUGCCCACGCUGUGCACCCUGGAGAUUAAUAAGAACAAUUGCACAUGGCUCACCUCAUAUGAAUCCGAUCCUGCCCUCUCAGACCCCUUUUGCAGUACAGCAGGGGUGCUGACCACAGAGGUCUCUCUUCCCGGCCUGCUGCUGUUUGUGCGGUUAUAUUUGAACUCCUGUGCACUGGACAAGCCCAUCCCUCACCCCCAUCUUUUCCCUCCCUUGCCCCGUCUCCAAGAUGGUUGUGCUUGGACAGUCAAGACGCACAAUGGCAAUUGCCCACACCGUGCACCUUGGAGAUUAAUAAGCACAGCUGCACAUGGCUCAUCCCAUGUGAAUCUGAUCCUGCCCUCUCAGACCCCUUUUGCAGUACAGCAGGGGUGCUGACCACAGAGGCCUCCCUUCCAGGCCUGCUGCUGUUUGUGCGGUUAUAUUUGAAUUCCUGUGCACUGGACAAGCCCAUCCCUCACCCCCAUCUUUUCCCUCCCUUGCCCCGUCCCCAAGAUGGUUGCACUUGGACAGUCAAGAUGCACAAUGGCAAUUGCCCACGCCGUGCACCUUGGAGAUUAAUAAACACAAUUGCACAUGGCUCACCCCAUAUGAUUCCAAUCCUGCCCUCUCAGACCCCUUUUGCAGUACAGCAGGGGUGCUGACCACAGAGGGGUGCCCCGUCCCCAAGAUGCUUGCGCUUGGACCAUCAAGAUGCACAAUGGCAAUUGCCCACGCCGUGCACCUUGGAGAUUAAUUAGCACAAUUGCACAUGGCUCAUCCCAUAUGAAUCCGAUCCUGCCCUCUCAGACCCCUUUUGCAGUACAACAGGGGUGCUGACCACAGAGGCCUCCCUUCCUGGCCUGCUGCUCUUUGUGCGGUUAUAUUUGAAUUCCUGCACUGGACAAACCCAUUCCUCACGCCCAUCUUUUCCCUCCCAUUGCCCCGUCCCCAAGAUGGUUGCGCUUGGACAGUCAAGACGCACAAUGGCAAUUGCCCCCACCAUGCACCUUGGAGAAUAAUAUGCGUAAUUACACGUUUGAACCUAUUUAAAUAAAAUCUUACCCUGUUAAUCCUUUGCAGUCUAACAUGGGGACUGAUCACUAAGGCCUCUCCAUGGCUUGUUAAUGUGACUAUAUUUUUCAUGUGCCUGGACUUUUUAAGGACUUCCCUCUCUUUAGUUUUUGUUUUAGUUAGGAGUACACACUAAUUUAAGGUUCUUAUAUUUGCACGAGGUGUAUAGUUCUAGUUUGCUACAUGGGACAUUAUUGCACAUAAUUGCCACUCUUGCCCUCCAUUUGAAUUGGAGCAGGGCUACUGUCCCAUUCGUCUUCUCUUGUCCUGCCAAUGAACGUAAUUGCAAUUGUCUGAGUGCUUGGGCCCCCUCACCGCUGCCAUAUGAAUUCAUAUGCUUUCCAGCAGGUGCCCACUGCUAAUACCUGAACACAAAGACAGUUAAUGUGCACAAGUGCAGUUUUCUACAACCCUAUUGCUUACUAGGACUGUACCUCUUUUGUUCUACUGUGGAGGCUACCGUUUUCUACCCACACCCCAGCCCCAGCUACCUUUGGAGUGGACCACUAAUAUGCAUUAUUGGAAUUGUCUUCAUCAGUAGACAAAAUCAUACCCCUCAGCUUUCCUUGUGGACAGGUGGUAUGUGUAGUUGCAGUGCCCACGACUCAGUAUUCUUUCACUUGGAAAGUUCGUGUUCACAAAUGCAAUUUUUCUAAGCAUGUCUUAUGCCAGAACCCCUGUACCUUCUGUGUUAGAGCAAGGCAGUGCUGUUGACCUAAUGCUCUUUGUACUUAUAAAUAAGCAUAAUUGCAUUUGUCCAUCUAUUCCACCGGACUGGGAUUGCAUCCCUUUUCACCCUCCUUGCCUCACGGCCAUGUUAACGAUGAAUGAACUCUUCUUCUAAGAAUAUUAGUGUGCAUAAUUGUAUUUGUCUGUAGACCUGUACCGUAGGAAAGGAUGUUAUGCUUCGACCACUGCCUUCGGAUUGUUGCUGAGGACUACUAACUAUCAUUACCUCAGCUUUGGGACAGUUAAUAUGCAGUAAUAACCAUGAUCAAAAUAUUGAUCAUUAGAUAAGACCCUUUUACCUUUCAUGUACCUUUCAGCAGGAAUACAGACUAAGGCCCUUUUCUUUGACUGUUAGCGUGAAUAUUUGCAAUUACCUAUUUCCCAUCCUGUUAGAGUAGCAUACUUAUACCCUCUUUGCAAUACUGCAGGGGCUGUUGACUGCACAAAAUUUCUCCUGGGACUGUAAAUGGGCAGAAAGGCAAUUUUCUUCCCUGGCGUUGUUAGGCAAACACUCCCAGCCCCCAACUUCCUGUGAUACAUACAAGUAAAAACAUCACACUAUGCCAUGAAUUUGCCCACCAGCUGCCCACACUCCCGUUCCUUUUGCAUUGCUCCACUCUAUAAAAUUCCAAGUAGUCAUGGUCUUUCCUCCUUCCCCUUCCCUCCCCUUGCCUCUCCUUGAAUCCUGAUGAACUACUUCAAGUGUCCAUAUUUCAAACCAUUAAAUAAGAUUGUGCCAUCUCCACCCCCUGCCCCUGCCCUGCCCCUUUGUUGCUGGGGAAUGUUUAGUGGGCAAGUCCCUUCCUCUUGGGUUAAAAAAGUAACAAUCUCAGAGGUUAUUGGUUUACCUACUUUGCAUUGUUACAGUGCUUCAGUUGCACUUUCCUUUAUCCUGCCAAUCAGACAGGGACCCUUCCACUUCCUUCUUUGCAUUGCUUCUGAGUAGUGCACGCCCAAAGCCCCCCACCCCGUGUUCUUAAUUAACGCAGUAAUAUUGUCCCAUUUUCCAGCCCAUCAGCCCAAGAUCUCCAUGUUGUGUUUGUGCAGUGUUGACUACCAAAAGCAGGUCGAAACUCGGUGGAUGGACUCUCAUUCCUUUUCCUGCAUUUGUUAAUGAUCCCAACACCAAUCGUCACUUUCUGGGGACAGGAACCAUUCUUGCCCACCUCUGUUGCUGCUUUACUGGGCUAAAUGCUCAAGAUAAGCCAGGCCCACAGAGCUGGAUUGCUGGCUUUUCUUUUGUAUGUUCCAUAUAUAUCACUACCAGUUAAAAACUGGUUCCCCAGGAAAGCAGGUUAGCGUCGUCUCUGCAUUCUUUCCUGCACAGUUUGCCUGGCUGUAAAUCUCUCAUCUUAUGUGUUGCUGUUGUUAAAUGCCAGUUGCCAGGAGGCAACCAAAAGUUACUAAUUUUUCAUUUUCUAAAGAAAGGUGUCUGGAAUGUAAGGUGGAGUUAAUAACCUGGUCAUUAAAUAUUUGAAGUCUAAAAACCCAUUUAUCUCAUGUACCUAAUGACCAGUGUCUCUCAUUUUACUAAGGGUGGUUGGUCUGUGGGCAGACCACUGUGACUCUUGCUAUUUUAUUGUUAGUAAAGCUAGUGAGUUCUCAAGUGAAACUCUCAAAGACCGGUACCUUUGGGCUCUACUACCAUUCAUUUUUAGAACAACUGUGGAAACUUUGUAGUCCUGAAAUUUCUUCAUCUGGAGCACCAACCAGCCCAGUCCCUAUUUAUUUCAGCAAGAUUGUUGUAAAACAAUUAAAUGAGAGAAUGGACAUAUGCUGAGGUGCCUUUGAAAAUCAUAGAUCACCUUCUGUGAUACUCUAUUACAUAAAAUGCACCCUGUUUUCAUUAUGCUGAAUUAAGGUAGCUCAAAGCACCACACGCAAGUGAGGAUUUAGAACUGAUGGGACCAAUUUUUCUGUGUUAUAUUAAAAGAAAGAUGAGCCAAGAUUAAUCAUUUUUCUGGGUAUAAAUUUUAGCAGUGAGUUGUUGUCUGAUAAAGUGAAUAAUACCCCAGCCUCUUAUAUACAGGCUGUUUGGUAGCAGAGAAAAUUUAGUAAGGAACUGCUGAAACAAGUAACUAGGUAUCACAACAGCAGUUCUUGGUAGUCACUGAAAAAGGAUACUAUUCCUCUGAGAAGGAUGUCAAAAGAUCGGCCCAGCUCAGGGUGCAGUAUGCACUACUAGCUCCUUGGACAGCUGUAAGAAGAGUCUCUGGCUCUUUAGAAUACUGAAUGAAUUCUGAUCCGGUUUUGUAUCCAUUCUAAGAAGAAGGAUGGUUGCCAGCCUCAGGCGGAUUUACGCUUGCACCACACAGCAUCCAAAGGACAUUCUCACAAGAGGACUGUAAGCAGCUUUAAGAAUGUCCACAUUCAGCAGAUCUUUCAAUUUGAGAAUCUGGAUAAUCGCCAGUUAAUCUAAGAGGAUGACUUGCAAUCUACCUGGAGAAAAAAGAUCUCCCUCAGAAGAAUAGGCUUGUUGCUUUACAGUGUUAGCGACCUAUUCCCUUUGACGGUCCCUAGGUGGAGAUGGGGCAUGAGGAUCCUCCAAGGGAAAAGCUCACUACCACUGGGCAACAAUCCUAAUGUAGGAGAGGAGGUGCUACCAAGUUUCUUCCUGGGCACAGGAGAGCAUGGACAACAACUGCUACAUUUGUGUUAGUGGUCUUGGGCAGAUCAUCAUUCUGGAGCCUCUCAUCUGCAAAGUCUCCCUUGUGGUCCUUGAACUUUGCCAAUCAUUUACUUACUUCAAGAUGCCUUGGGAUGUCCUUGGGAUAAAAGACAACAAAUUGCUUGGAAAGACAAAUAAGACUUGAUCAUUUUAAGCUGUGAUGGGGGCCUCACAACUAUGAAUGGGAACCUGACUAAAAAUGGCACAAAGUUAUAUUGCACCAGGCAAGAACUAAGAAGCAGGAGCCGGCAUACUCUAGCUCUUGAUUGUUUCCUUCAUACUUACCAAAUCAUUAUCCUUCCCGAAAGCAGAGCAAGAGAGUAUGAACUCUGAAUACGCCAAAAGAAGAUCAACACUUCUGGCACUCUAACACUUUAAAAUAGCAGAAUAAAUGUGUAUUUCUUUGUCCAAUUCUUCCUUGAGUGUCUUGGUCUUUCUUCUCUAUCUAAAGUGUGUCUGAACCCAUUUCCAUGAUUCUCUUGCUAGUUUUUUCCAUGUGUAUCUUGCCUCACUGCCUUUUGUGUUCCUGAGUGGUCUAUGCCUUGUCUUAGGUAUCUUUCUAGUUUUCUCUUUUUUCCUAGUUUUUUGCUUUUUUCUAGUUUUCGCUUUGCUGUCCUGUAUCUGACUCUUCUUUCACUCUUCAUCACUUUGUGUCUCUGCAUCUCAUGUUGUGUGCUUUUUGCUUAUUUCUUGUUCCACCUACUUCACUUUUUCUCAUUGUAGCUCUGAUUGUUUGUGACCCCCUCCCUUUCUUGUUGAUGUGACGUUUCAUCUUUUCUGAUUCUGGUCUCUCUUCUGUUGUUUUUCUUCCUUAGCUCGCAUUUCUCUUCUACAUUUCCUUUCUACCUCUUGGCUAUCUUCUUUCCUCUUUUUCAUGCUUUGUGUGCUUCAAUGUCUCUGCUCUUUGUGAAUUUCCAUUCUAGUGGUUGUCUGUCUGUUUUCCUGGGUCUUCUCUUUUCCCUUUCUGCUCACCUUUUGAGUGUUUCAGCUGCUUCAUGUAUUUGUGUCUCCUCUUCUUUGUUUCAUACAAGCCUCACUCCUUGCAUAUUUUUUGUGCCUGCGUGUGCGCUUUUGUGUGCAUGUUUGUAUUCUUUGUGACAAAGGGGCUCCUAACCCCUCCCCGAUAGGUGCAGAGUGCCAGCUACCAAAACAAGUAUUGUAGAACUGUUCCUGAUGCCAGACUGUCCUGUGAGAUGACCCCAGACCAAAAGAAGGCCCAAGGGUCUAGACUGAAAGAAGAGCUAAGACAGUACAAGGCCCCACAGAAGACAGAUGAUUGGAGACUACAGACCUGAGACCUGAAAACUAAAGUAAAAAAAUCCAUGUCCCAAGAUAGAGGGAUACCUCGGCCCUGACGCCUUCCAGAACAGAGCCAAAAAUGUACAGAAGGUGCUGCUUGUUGGACAUAAGACGUGAGUUGAAUGGAGAAUGUCUUGAGUCAACGCUGACAACUCUUGAGGCUGAAGACCUUAAAUUGCAGAUCCAUGGAGGGUUUGAAACCUAAGACUUAGGCCUAAGACCUGAGAUUAAAAAGCCUUAGCUCCGAGAUCUGAGUCUCAAGGAUGGAAUGCCUGAAACAAACAUGAAAAGCCAGAAUUCAAGCUUCUCUAGAUGGACAGAGGCUCAAGAGGUGGGAAGGCCCAUGACUGGGAAUAUAGGAAGAAUAAAAUCCUCAAACCAGAGGAAAUUCCAAGACGAGAACCCUAAAUCUCAGCUCUUUUCUGUUGCUCUACUACUUACUCUUGGACCUUUUUCUUAUUUCCAGUUCUCAUAUCUCCAAUUAAGCCCCCUAAUUCUGACAUAUUGUUAUUACCGUACACAUAUCUUUGGAUUGUCAGUAUUAUUCCUGGUCCAUCUUAAACAGUUUUUAACCACAGUUUUGAGCUGUUUAUUAACUUUUAUGUGUUAUUUAAACUUUCAUUUCUCUUCAUCUCCAUUCCAUCUAAGAGAGACAUAUGGGUGACAUAUUUCAGUCCUCCCCUUUUCUCCAAAGGUCUAGGUUGAUGAGAGGAGGAAAAACAUCAGGUUGCUGGGAGCAAAAAUGCCAGGCUCUCUAGCAAAAACUUGAAGCGAAGCUCCAGGUCAGUUAGAAGAAUCAGAUAACAAAUACACAGAUGUGCCAGCCUGCUGAAAGGUACCAACCACCAUCUUCUUUGAGCGUGGAUGAGCAGGAAUCCUGGGGUUUGGACUUCUUAGUUAUGGCUAGAACAAAAGGAUGCUAGGGCCUGGGAGAGGCCCCAAGGAGAUAGCUUGAAUUCCUUGCUCAUUGUAGUGGUCCAGUAAUUUGGCAGACUGUGCCAACCCAUCCCUGGCUUUAAUGCCUACCUCAAGGCUUAAAGGUAAUAGAACUUGGGAAUAUUAGCAGGCUUAAUCCUUUCAUUGAUCUCUUCCCUCCCCCCUUUAGUGUCAUGAGGGAAGAUGAUUUAAACAUAUAUAAAAAGCAUUGUAAAACACAGUAAAAAGCAAGGUGUUCUUCUUAAUAAUACAUUGGCAGCCAUGCACAGCUAACAUUUGCAAGUGCACUGUCAGUUGUAGAGCAUGAUGUAAACCAGAGAUCAUCAUACUUUUCCACUAAAGGGUCAUGUGGUCUCUGUUCCAUUUUUUUUUAAAACAAUUCUUUAAAAAGGAAACUUACUCUUAGCUCAUGAACCAAGUGGAUUUGGCCCAUGGGCCAUGGUUUAUCACUCCUGAUGUAAAUGCCAGGGACUGUGCACUGAAUAUUAAUUUUCUUCUGUCUGCCUGUCCCUAUGCUAAGGCACCAAGGAUGUGGUGAUUAAUCACGAUCACAUCCAGGUGACCGGAAUAAAAUUAUGCGAAUGUGCUUUGUAAACUAUGAAGCACUUAAAGACUUAUGAGUACUAUGCACAUAAUAGGAAUUGGGUGUUUGAUAAGUGAAUAAUUGAUGUAUUUGUGGCCAACUUGUUUCAGCUGCUAUGAUGAUUUUGAGUAAAAAUACAAUAUUUCAUAUAGCAGAAAACAUUUAGAAACUACUUUUAAACUACCAAAUACACUGCAACACAAGGCAUUAAGCUAUUUGGAUCACUUCUAAUGUGCCAAAUAACAUGCUUAAGCACUAAAGAUAUCAAAGGGGAAAAAAUGUUCACAUUAUUGAACUGAACAUUUCAGAAAGGAAGUGCAGAUUAAAGUACUUUGUAAAUGAAAGCAAUGUAUAUAAAUAGCAGUAGACCACAUGUUUAUGAAUCAAAGAAUAAAUAUUAAUUGCCUUUAGCUGGCACAAAUCCAAGAUAAUGCUCCCAAGUAAUAAGAGGGAGAUUUAUAUCCUCUUCUAUUUAGCUGUAAGCAAUUAGAUAUGCUUAUUUUAAUCAAUCAAGACUUUACUGGUGAUAUCAAAUUAAAUUAUUACUGGUAUAUUUUCCAGGGAACAGAGGAAAACCUAAUGAAUAUGAUGUGCUUUCUAAACUAUAAAGCACUAUAUAAAACAUUAGAUAUCUUCUAUGUGAAUAAAACUUUGUGGAUGGUAAGCAUUGUCUCUACAAAGUUCUCAUUGUGUCCUUGACACCCACUAUGAGAAAGGUUGUAUAAAUAUUUAUAUAAUCUGGGCGUUUAAGUACUUGUUAAAUGAAUUAAUAUCAACUGCCCGCUGUGUGAACCCACUGUUACGGGCACUGAAGAGUACACAAAUUUGUCAUUUUGUUGUGCCUGUAACUGAGAAUAAGGUAAUAUAUAUGUUGUAAUUUUAUGAACUCUAAAAUUGGUGCUGAGUACUAGACUUAUACUGUCAUCAUAGUUAUGACUAUACUUGAUGAAAAAGUCAGACUUUGAAGAUUUGUUAACUGUUGAACAGUUUGAAGGGGUAUGUAGGGGAUUAAGUCUCUCAUGAGUGCAAGAAUGGAAAUUAACUAUUUCCAUUAUAUGUGCCAGUCUCCUCUUCAUGGCAUGAGAAAUAUAAAGAUGACCCGUCUUUAUUGUGUCAUGGUUAACAGAAGAUGAUAUCUAAAGUCAAUUUAUAAGCUUUAAUCUACCACACAUAUAUAAACAAUAUCUGUUGAAUGUAAUUGAUUUUUUUACUCUAUUUUAUCCCCAGAGAUAGCAACUGGGGACACAAAAAUCUCAUUAUUAUUGAACCUGCAAGAGGGAUCUGUGUGUGCAAAUUUACAAAGCCUACUGUUCUAUACAGAUAUAAGGAAUUUACUGUUGGCUUAAUGAAUGACUAUUGAUUACUUUCUAUGAGGCUGAAAAUGUCUCAUGUCCUAGGUUAUAAAAAUCAUUUUAUCCUUACUGGAUGCUCACAGGAGUAAAUGAGGUUUAUGAUUCAGAUUGAAACUUACCUACUGCCAAAAGCUUAUUUGAUGACAAAAACAUGGGGAAAAUAACUUUCUGUAAGGAGUUAUGCUAAAUGCUGAAAUUGAUGGAAAGAGAAAAUCCAGACAAGAAGGCUCCUUGCUCCCUGGCCUGACUGAAGAGAUGGGAAAUUAAAAAAAACAAAAACAAAAAACCCCAAGAUGUUGUGGCUCUGGAUGCUGAAAACAGAUGAGGUAGACUCACCAUGGCCUGGGUUGGAGACAUUAAAGAAGUAAAAUAAAUCACUCAGAUUUUCUUUUAGAUUCAUUUGAUGAAUAGAACAUCUUCUAUGUAGAUGGAAUAUGUCAUUCUAGGUCCUGAACCUUAAGUGAAAUGGGCCUAGACUGGAGGGCAUUAGACCACAGAUCACAGCUAAAGAUACAAAGCCAUCUUUGAUUUCUGAGUGAAUGUUUGAGUGCCUGUUCUCGACAAGGCACAAUGCUAGAUGAAUUUGUCAAGUUGAUCUGGUCCAGAAGACCCAUUGACUUGCCUUAGAGAUUUAACAAAGAAAAAAAGACAGUUUUUUUCAGCAUAAAAUCAAGACUUUUUUCCUAGCUCUUUCCCAAUGUUACUUGCUUAUUGACCUAGUUUGUAACCAGAAGACUGGUAAAGGACUCAGGAUUUGUCCUUUAGUUGAUAAUUUAACAUUCUGAUUAUACUAUAGUUCAGUUGUUUAAGAUGGGAAUGAAAAUGAACCAACUGGUUUUAAAAGUAUUUGCUCGUGUCUCCUGACUCCUGAGUCAAGGAGACAGUUUACAAUGAAAAAGAUUUUAGAUUUUCCAUAUCUUGUGAAAAUUUAUUCUCUCUGAAUAAAGUACUAUUCUUAGGUGCUGAGGAGAAUAAAAAGAUUUAAAAGACUGAGAUUGAAAUGUGCUUUAAUCUCACUAUAUUAUGUGAAAACACAAGAAAUUUAAUAAGAGUGCAAUUCUAUCUUUAGUUGAAAAAACUAUUGAACAGCUGUGAUAUUAAGACACUGAGAAGGAAUGCUUAAAAGGUCACCUUCUCCUUGGUAUGUUUUGUAGAGUGGGAAUAAAAGGACUUUUUUACUUACUCAUUUUUAUGAACAUUGAAAGUGAUGCUAAAUGCUAAAUGAAAUAUAUCUGGUGCAAAAGGCACUUAGUCUGACUUAGACAAACAAGCAAAGAAGAAAGAAUGUGAAAAACUCUUUGUUAAGUGAAAAACUCUUUGGAAGUGCCUUAUUUGGAAGUGUCUUAUUUCAAGGCAUUGCGCUAAUUCCCAGACAGAAAAUACUAAGAGAUCUUGACUCAACACUUCCUUAUUAAUUGACCUGGAGACUAAACUAUGAGAGGUUACUGUUCAUUCAUUGUAUUUAUUCUUUUAUUCUCUAAGUAUAUUUCAGUGCCUAAUGGGUACAAAUAAUGUCCUUUGGUAGGUUCUUAGUUGGCCUCAGAGACAUGAAAAAUGAAUGCCUCCCCAGAGAACUUUUAAAACUUUUUGUUUGGCCUAUUUUCUGGUUAUGGGCAUGACUUACUCCCUAAAUAAUACUGUGUGGGUUUAUUCCUACUCCAUGUUUCUUCUACCACUCUGGCCACUACAAUAAGCAGGAUGUUUUACUGAGCUUGCUCCUUAAGUUGCAGGAAUCCUCCUUAGACACUAUUUUAAUUAGCUUGUCCCCAUAAAAAAUGGCUGUGACCACUGCUGGUCAGGAGGAGGGUUGACAAACAGCUAUCGCCCAACCCCUAGGCCUUGGGUACCCACUCACAAUCAAGCCACAGUGGGUUUUGAAACGCAUUUACCACUGUUGUCUCAUUUGAAUUCUUUACCUUUUUAUAUUCUAACAAAUACUGCCUACAUAAAUCUCAUAAAAGUACAAUCCUCAGAUAGUACAUAUCAAAAUGGAGAUGGAGAUAUGAUUUCUUUUUUGCAUCAGUUCUCAACUUACAUCUUAGCUGGCGUAUCAUCAGCCUAAGUCAAGAAAAGACUUAUUUAUAGUAAAAUAAUGUCAGUGAAUGAAAAUAGCUUAACAAUUUUAUUAUGCUGAGUGUUAAGAACAACAAAAUAAAAAUUGGAAGUAAUUGGCAAAAAUCAGGAGGGAAAAAAUACCCCAAAACAAUCCUUUAAAUAUGGACCCAAAUGGGCUUUGACCUUUUCUAAUAUUUAAAUCACUCACAGAGGGUGGGAUAGGAGGAAGAGUGAAAGAAAAGGUUAAACCUAUUUCCAAGGUCAGUCUGCCUUUGUUCUGGAUUGGUCUAAAGGGCAUUACUACCUCCAGGUAUAACUUAAGAUUGCUUUUUUAAAGUUGAAUGCAACUGCUAAUAAUUGGUUAUUGUUGAGAUGAGAACAAAGGACUUUUUUCCCACUGAUUUCUGCUGUAAGUUUUUGAGAAACAACAAUUUUUGGCUGAAUGGUUAUCAACUCAGCUCUGAGUUUUAUAGUUACAGGAUUCAUUGAAUCAGUGACCUCUCCAUCAUAAGGAAGCAUUAAAGCAGAAGUCAAAAUUCACUUGAAAUAAAGCCUUUAUGUAAUGCACACACACUUUUAAGUGUCUAAACUUUAGGUUACAUGGCAAGCCAACAAUAACAUUUGUAAAUCAAGAAGCAAAUACAAAGGAAUGACAAAAUUGGUAAAAGGCUAAAGUUGAAGGAUCUCGGGUUGAAGUUUCCCUUUACUUUGUUACAUUUUAAUUUAAGCAUCGGAUACAUCUGAAAUACUAAUGUUUGUCUUUUAAUGCCUGCCAUUGGCUGAACUCAUUACCCUUCCUUUAGCUGGGGUGGGGGUGCAUUAUUGGGAAGUGGAAAGGAGAAAAUAACUAAAAGCCUUCCUUUCACAGUUUCUGGCAUCUUAAAACUACCACUACCGAUAAAACAAGGAUAGGAGAACUUGCUAUCAUCUGAUUUUGUGGCAUAAAUGAAGUUGUGCACAAGUCCGAUAUCAAAGGAAAUCUCUUCAUCUCUACCCUUCUACCUGAAAGGGAAUCUUAUACCUAAGCGCUUCCAUAAACAAAAAACAUAUUUUGACUUAUGAACUGACAGAAAAUGCAGACUCUGACCCUUCAGUGGUCUGAAGAUUGAACAGUCUUGCUCAGCAUGGAUGACCUCCAAAAAGUACUUUAAAGCCAUCUGAAUGUGACCACUAAGACAACGGGGGGAUAUGUUUUCUAAUGUUAAAUAAAAAAUAAUACUUGGAAAACUUUAUGCUUUGAUGUGACAAGUUCUGACACUCCCCACCAAGCCACAGUAGUUCCCUCACUUUCUUUCCCCCCUCCCUCCUGCUUUCCCUCCCUUCUUUCCUUCCUUUCUUCCCUCAGUCAACCAGCUUGGUUAGUUAAAUGAUUUGAUGUCUCAUUUCUUACAGCUUCAGUUGCUUUGGUCGGGGAGCCACAAGUCUAAGAAACAGAAAUCUAAUGAAAAACAGAA